AAUAGAUACCCCGGUAGUCCACGCUGUAAACGGUGGGUACUAGGUGUGGGGUCCAUUCCACGGGUUCCGCGCCGUAGCUAACGCUUUAAGUACCCCGCCUGGGGAGUACGGCCGCAAGGCUAAAACUCAAAGGAAUUGACGGGGCCCCGCACAAGCGGCGGAGCAUGCGGAUUAAUUCGAUGCAACGCGUAGAACCUUACCUGGGUUUGACAUGGAUCGGGAGUGCUCAGAGAUGGGUGUGCCUCUUUUGGGGUCGGUUCACAGGUGGUGCAUGGCUGUCGUCAGCUCGUGUCGUGAGAUGUUGGGUUAAGUCCCGCAACGAGCGCAACCCUUGUUCACUGUUGCCAGCACGUUAUGGUGGGGACUCAGUGGAGACCGCCGGGGUCAACUCGGAGGAAGGUGGGGAUGACGUCAAGUCAUCAUGCCCCUUAUGUCCAGGGCUUCACGCAUGCUACAAUGGCUGGUACAAAGGGCUGCAAUACCGCAAGGUGGAGCGAAUCCCAAAAAGCCGGUCUCAGUUCGGAUUGAGGUCUGCAACUCGACCU
rnacentral:rRNA from 1 species